rnacentral:tRNA from 1 species
GCUUCCUUGGCUCAGUUGGCUAGAGCGCAGGUCUCAUAUUGACUUAUGAGUGGUCGCCUGAUCAUGCAAUCCUGAGGUCGCAAGUUCGAGCCUUGCAGGGAGCA